GUCCCUGCCGUGCCCUCAGGGCUGCGCCCUGGCUGAGGUGAGAGGACGUGUCCCAGCCACCCCGUGCCGCCUGGCUGUGACCUGAGCUGGCGUUAGGCCUUGAGGUGGCGCUGUGAGGGGAUGCGGUGCUGUACUGGGCUGUGCGGCCAUAGCGUGAGGCGGCGCCAUGUUGUCGGGGGGCGCCAUGUCGUGAGGCGGCGCCACGUUGUCCGGGGACGCCAUGAGAUGGUGCCGCGUUGUGAGGUGAGUGUGAGGCGAUGUUGUGUUGUGAGGCUGCGCCGUGUUGUGGGGGGUCACCACGUUGUGGGGUGACGCCGUGUCGUGAGGCGGCGCCAUGUUGUGAGGCGGCGCCACGUUGUCCGGGGACGCCAUGAGAUGGUGCCGCGUUGUGAGUUUGAAAUAAGUGGAAAACAUGGACCUGUUGGAUGUGGGAUUAUGUUGAAACAGUACAGCAGGAGUCCAAAUGGGAGAGGAAAUCUGUGCACAACCAGUGCCACCACGAGAUAAAUAAGCAGCAGGAACCAGGAGGAGGAGGAUCUGAGGAGCUGUGACCUUGCAUUGCUCUUGCUCUACAUGGCCAACUGCCUGAACUGAACGUAUACCCUUGUAACUCCGGAAUCUGAUUCAAGGGAAGAACUGCUCUUGGUGCCUGCAACCAGUGGUAGAUACAUUGUGACAUGACUGAUUUGCAGCAGGAGUAACCAGGGGCCUAACAAAAGCCUUAACGGAAAACCACCCAAAGGUAAGUUCUUCAUACAGAGGGUGCCAUGCUGUCUGAUUGUGAAAUUCUAGUUUGAAUUGUCCCUCCUGACUCCCUAGGCAAACCUGCUGCGAUUAGAUUCAGAUCAGUGUGAGAAAAGAUGUCCACACCAUGUUCAUUCCCAUCCCUGUCUUCUCCACAUAAUGUGCUUCCUUGGAGCUGCCAAGAGAAAACGCAUUCCCACGGUAUCAUCAAAGGAGCUGUGUCCAGCACCAGUUUUCCUACCAACCAGAUCAACGGGCUGAGUGUGGCAGCUCUGUACAGCAGCUCUCGUGACUCCAGCUGAUACAUUCACAUCAUGAGAAGGUCCGGUGAGUUGCUUUCAGUUUAUUUUAAACACUCUCAACUCUUGUGUACAGACAUGAGGGACUAAAGAAUAAUGAUCACGCAAAAACAAAGGAAGUACAGCAGCUGCUACCAUCUGAAAAACAAAUGUUGUAUGGACUAAGCAUCUUAAUUGUGGCAGUUUCGCAUUCACAUUUUUCUGGCUGCUGAGAAAUUUGAAAGUUGGAUGUUGAGUUCACUAGAGCAGAGCUAGAAAACCCUUUUCUUUCCUAAGGUCUUUAUUUUAGAACUGUUGGUUCCAGCCAUAAAUCAAUGGAAACAUUUGUUUUUCACUAAGGUGGAAAGAGCAGCUAAGGUGGAGACAGUACUUUGUGAAACAUGGUGUUCUUGUAACCAAGAGUACCCCUGAGCUAAAAUGUGUUCAGCUCUGGGCACCAAAUAAUCAAAGUAUAUGUGGAAUUUUAAAAUGUACACUAAUUAGAAAAUUGAACAUAGAACCAAAGAAAGAUGGAAAAGACCGGUACCGUUUACCUUUAGGGUAAAGAAAACAGUGUGAAGUUCUUGAUAUAUUUGCUAUGACCUUCAUACCCAAUGAUGAAAGAAACAAACCCCAACCACAGGUGAGAGACUCUUAUUGGCCCUUUCCCUCUCAG
ensembl:lncRNA